GACAGCAGCAGCCGCGGUAAUACGUAGGGUGCGAGCGUUAAUCGGAAUUACUGGGCGUAAAGCGCACGUAGGCGGCUCCGCAAGUCGGAUGUGAAAUCCCUCGGCUUAACCAAGGAAGUGCAUCCGAAACUGCAGAGCUUGAGUACUUAAGAGGAUCGCGGAAUUCCCGGUGUAGAGGUGAAAUUCGUAGAUAUCGGGAGGAACACCAGUGGCGAAGGCGGCGAUCUGGGAAGAUACUGACGCUGAGGUGCGAAAGCGUGGGGAGCAAACAGGAUUAGAGACCCGUGUAGUCCUGUCUCUUAUACA
rnacentral:rRNA from 1 species